GACGAACGCUGGCGGCGUGCUUAACACAUGCAAGUCGAACGGAAAGGCCCUGCUUUUGUGGGGUGCUCGAGUGGCGAACGGGUGAGUAACACGUGAGUAACCUGCCCUUGACUUUGGGAUAACUUCAGGAAACUGGGGCUAAUAACGGAUAGGAGCUCCUGCUGCAUGGUGGGGGUUGGAAAGUUUCGGCGGUUGGGGAUGGACUCGCGGCUGAUCAGCUUGUUGGUGGGGUAGUGGCUUACCAAGGCUUUGACGGGUAGCCGGCCUGAGAGGGUGACCGGCCACAUUGGGACUGAGAUACGGCCCAGAGUCCUACGGGAGGCAGCAGUGGGGAAUAUUGCACAAUGGGCUGAAGCCUGAUGCAGCAACGCCGCGUGCGGGAUGACGGCCUUCGGGUUGUAAACCGCUUUCGCCUGUGACGAAGCGUGAGUGACGGUAAUGGGUAAAGAAGCACCGGCUAACUACGUG
rnacentral:rRNA from 1 species